AUGGAAUUACCUCCACUUCCAUUUACUCUUUUUGUUGUUGUUAUUACUGUAUGUACUCUGUACACAUUGGUUUUAUUCCUCUCACGGCUGCAUCAUCCUAAGCUAGAAACGCGAUUACAUGGCAUGCAUAUUUACAGAGGCGGAAGGAAAAUUGCAAAAAAAGGCAGGAAACUAGAUGAGACUACCAUCAGGUUCUUUUUGGUUUCAUUGGUUCUUGGAUGCUUGCUACUCCACGAGCGCGGCGAAGCAGCUCUCGGUGCGCGCGAGCGGGCCGCCGGCGCCGGGGCCGGCGCCCGCGGCCGCGGCGGGGGCGACGGCGUCGCGCCUCGGGCUGCUCGGCGUGGAGCGGACCAGCCUCGGCGGCGACGGCGAGCCCAGCCUGCGGCGGAGCAGGAGCCGCAGGGCCGCGAUGAGCUCGUCGCCCGGAGAAGGCGGCGCGGACGCGCGGCGCCCCUCGCCGCACACGCAGGCGUGGCGGUCCAGCGCCUCCGCGGGCGACACCGGCGGCGAGGCCCUGCACAUCUCCUCGGCCACGGCGUCCCCGCAGAGCCCGCAGAUCCAUCUCCCGCCGUACCGCGCGCGCACGCCGGCGAUGUACGGGGCCGUGCACUCCUCCGUGAAGCCGCAGCACUCGCACGCCACCUCCUCCUCCUCCUCCUCUUGCUCCUCGCGCGCUUGCACCUCCGCCUCCAUCGUCAAGACCUCUAUCCCCGCCGAGAAAGAAAACCCGCCGCCGCCUCCUCCGCGCCGGUGGUUGCUGCUGCUGCCGCUGCGGCUACGACGAUGACCAGAGAGAAAGAAAAGUCCCGUGCCCGUGAGCGCCUGCGGAGUCCGUAUUUAUCCGGCCCGUCGUCGUCGCGCGCGGGCGCGAGAUGCUGGCGUGUGGGCCCGGCGUACGUGCGACUGAAUUAUGAGGCCGGCCACGUGGUGCUGGGCCAUUGGGCGCGGGAUCGGGACCGGGUCCGCCUGCCAGCUGUGGCCAAGUGGGCGGGCCGGGGUCCCGUCGUUGCUUGUGGUUUGGGUGGCGCCAAAGGCGUCCGUCCCGCCUGUGCUGUCCCGCGGCUGCGACUGAUUUAA
rnacentral:rRNA from 1 species